AUACGGAGGAUCCGAGCGUUAUCCGGAUUUAUUAGGUUUAAAGGGUGCGCAGGCGGGAAGAUAAGUCAGCGGUGAAAUCCCGGAGCUCAACUCCGGAACUGCCGUUGAUACUGUUUUUCUUGAGUGCGGUUGAGGUAGGCGGAAUGUGCAGUGUAGCGGUGAAAUGCUUAGAUAUUGCACAGAACACCGAUUGCGAAGGCAGCCUGCUAAACCGUAACUGACGCUGAGGCACGAAAGCGCGGGGAGCGAACAGGAUUAGAAACCCUAGUAGUCC
rnacentral:rRNA from 1 species